rnacentral:rRNA from 1 species
CCUACGGGGGGCAGCAGUGGGGAAUAUUGCACAAUGGGCGCAAGCCUGAUGCAGCCAUGCCGCGUGUGUGAAGAAGGCCUUCGGGUUGUAAAGCACUUUCAGCGGGGAGGAAGGCGGUGAGGUUAAUAACCUCAUCGAUUGACGUUACCCGCAGAAGAAGCACCGGCUAACUCCGUGCCAGCAGCCGCGGUAAUACGGAGGGUGCAAGCGUUAAUCGGAAUUACUGGGCGUAAAGCGCACGCAGGCGGUCUGUCAAGUCGAAUGUGAAAUCCCCGGGCUCAACCUGGGAACUGCAUUCGAAACUGGCAGGCUAGAGUCUUGUAGAGGGGGGUAGAAUUCCAGGUGUAGCGGUGAAAUGCGUAGAGAUCUGGAGGAAUACCGGUGGCGAAGGCGGCCCCCUGGACAAAGACUGACGCUCAGGUGCGAAAGUGUGGGGAGCAAACAGGAUUAGAUACCCGAGUAGUC